ACAGAGGGUGCAAGCGUUAAUCGGAAUUACUGGGCGUAAAGCGAGCGUAGGUGGCUUGAUAAGUCAGAUGUGAAAUCCCCGGGCUUAACCUGGGAACUGCAUCUGAAACUGUUAGGCUAGAGUAGGUGAGAGGGAAGUAGAAUUUCAGGUGUAGCGGUGAAAUGCGUAGAGAUCUGAAGGAAUACCGAUGGCGAAGGCAGCUUCCUGGCAUCAUACUGACACUGAGGCUCGAAAGCGUGGGUAGCAAACAG
rnacentral:rRNA from 1 species